UGAAGUAGGAUAUUCAAUGGAUGGUGCUUUAUCCUUGCACCGCAUCUGGCUUCCAUAAACUGGAGUAUUUUCCUUGUGCCCCCGAGCAGCCUGGGUGUGGCUCUUCUGGUGGAAAUGAAAACAGUCUGGGGCAAAAUAUGAAGCAUCUGGCAGCCCAUCCUAAAAAUUUGGGGCAUUUGUCUGAACUGAACACGACUGAGUGUAAAGGACUGAGUGUUAAAGAUACAUUUACGUAGCAACAGCAACUUGGAAGUCCAAGUCCAAGAAGGACGAAGUUUACCCAGAGCAAUAGCUUGUUGUUGGGGGAAGUUGUCUUCUAUACCGCCCUUAAGCAUUCUGUAUUGAUUUGCUAUGCCAUGGUGUGUCCAAUCCUUGGAAAGAAAAAAACCCUUCUAAACCUAAUCUUAAUAGUGAAGAUUGAGGCUCAAUAUUUUCUUUUUCAGUGGACAAAGUUCAGCUGAUAAAAUUCGAAGCAAAAGAUCCCUUGGAAAACAGCAAGUUAUAAAUAUAAUUGUCUCUCCCUGGCUGAUUUUAUUAAGAUGUCUAAGGAAAGUUCUCCAGAUGAAUGAUUUCAGUUGGCAAUCAUGUAUACCCAUGAGUGCUGAUCUGAAUCAUGCUUAUCCAUAAAUGCAAUUAAAGAUUGAGAGGCAGGGCAUACUGAAAAGUAUGUGACAGCCAUAGAUAGAGCCCAUGGCUGCAUUGAAGACUAUACAUCACAAUCAGAAAACUCAGAUCAAAUCCAAAGUACUGUCUAAUUUGUAGGACUCAUGGCUCAGGAACCCUGCAUCUGAGGGCUUGCCUACCCUCUCACAGGUUUAUAACAAUACCAAGAUUUUAAACAUACAUUCCUUUUGGAAAAUCUCCACCAUUUAAGUUUUGCUCUUUUUAGAUCUGCUGUGAAAUACUCUCUCCAAAGGUGCUCAUUCACCUGCUCCCUAUUUUAAUUAGCUUUAAACCAUUUAAAAUGUUGGCAGUCCUCAAAAGCUUUUGAGAAGCCUUUCAAAAAUAGGAGUCAAUAAUGCAAAUGAAUUGAGUAUAUUUAAAAUUAUGGAAAUAAAGAAUGCCAAAAUUUCACCA